CGAUAAAGUGAUGCAGUAUUUGCAUGUAGCCUAUGCACAUCCUCUAGGUUACUUACAAUAUCUAAUACAAUAAUGCCAGCUCCACGAGGACAAGAACCCCCAGUCCCUGACUCACAGCUUGAGCUCCAGCACGGCUCCGGGAAACCCACAGCCAGAGCUUACAUUUUCCCAUAAUCUGGGCACUGAUGCCCCCACCACGUGCACCAGGUACUAGCCUGAUAGGACUACCACCCCCAGCAUGCCUCGCGCGUUUGGGACGUACCACAGCUUGUAGGGAUAUCUGGGUCUGAAAAGGGC